AGUGCUAGAAAGUAGCCUGCCGCAACUAAAUAUGGUUCCAGGACCACUUGAUCAGGACUGGUCUGGGAAUCAAUGCGUGGGUACCAAUUAAUACAUCCUCGUGAUGAAAUAUUUAUUAGCCUAUAAGAACACCACCUCAUAGUUAAUUCUCUCUGUUACUUUUGUAUUAGUUUGUUUUCCUGAAGUUGAAUUUUGACCAACUCUA